rnacentral:rRNA from 1 species
GCAGGGAAUAUUGCACAAUGGGCGAAAGCCUGAUGCAGCAACGCCGCGUGAGGGAUGAAGGUCUUCGGAUUGUAAACCUCUUUUACAGGGGACGAGUGAGGACGGUACCCUGUGAAUAAGCAACGGCUAACUACGUGCCAGCAGCCGCGGUAAUACGUAGGUUGCGAGCGUUAUUCGGAUUUACUGGGCGUAAAGAGCACCGAGGUGGCUUCUUAAGUUGGAUGUGAAAUCUCCUGGCUUAACCGGGAGGCGCCAUUCAAAACUGGGGAGCUUGAGGUCAGCAGGGGAAGGUGGAAUUCCCGGUGUAGUGGUGGAAUGCGUAGAGAUCGGGAGGAACACCAGUGGCGAAAGCGACCUUCUGGGCUGCACCUGACACUCUAGUGCGAAAGCGUGGGGAGCAAACAGGAUUAGAUACCCGGGUAGUCC